UACGGGGGGGGCAAGCGUUGUUCGGAAUUAUUGGGUUUAAAGGGUGCGUAGGCGGCUUAUUAAGUCAGUGGUGAAAGCCUGCAGCUUAACUGCAGAACUGCCAUUGAUACUGAUGAGCUUGAAUAUACUUGAGGUUGGCGGAAUGUGUCAUGUAGCGGUGAAAUGCUUAGAUAUGACACAGAACACCGAUUGCGAAGGCAGCUAGCUAAAGUAUAAUUGACGCUGAGGCACGAAAGCGUGGGGAGCAAACAGG
rnacentral:rRNA from 1 species